ensembl:lncRNA
GAAAUCCCUUUCUUGCUCCUCUCUUCUCAGCAGUCAUCAUGUGAGUCCGGCAAGAGAGGAGCCCACCAUGUGCUGUCCUCGAUCAGAUAAGUCUUUAUAAAUAUAUAGAUUAGUAGUUAUCAUUGAUAAUUAAGACUGAGCUAGCAAGUAAGAAAUCCUAGUCAUUGGCCAGCAGCAUUGUAGUUCAUGCUGGGAUCAAACCCAGGGCUUUAUGUAGGCUGGAAAGCAUCUCACUGAGCUACAGCCCUGGCCAUUUUCUUAGAUUUUUUAGUAGUGUUGCUGUCUCCAUCUCACAUACAAUAUUUUUUGUUUACUAUCUUGGUUAAGAGGAGCUGAUAGCUUUAAUGGUCUCUUAUUCUUCAGGCCAAGGAUUCAAUGUUGUCAUUACCCUAGCUGCUAAAUUGAUCAACCCCAAUCUUACAUUCAAGCACUAGGGAAAUGAUGACUGGAUAGUUUCACAAAGAUAUCAGCCAUGAUUUCCCUUCAUAAUCUGACUUUUCAAGCCUCCUCUUUAAUAGAGGACCAGUAUAAUACCCUGUGUGCCAUCCUCUUGGUUGACCCUUCUUCUUAAGACCCAUUUAUAUCUUCAGUCAAUAUAUUCUGAAUCUGAACAUUGAUGGUGGUCCAGACCUGAGUAAGGGACCAUGACUUCUUACUUGGAUAACUCAAGACCUUAGACUCCUCUCUGAUUCAGACCUCUCUCUUGUGUUUUCCUCUCUUGCUUCAGACCUCUCCCAUUCAUACCCACUCUUUCCCAUUCUUUCUGUCUUAAAAAAAAAGCCAACACAAAACAAACCAAAAAAGUAUUCAUACACACACACACACACACACACACACACACACCCUACCAAUGCCAACACCAACAUCAACAACAAAAUGGAGUCUGUUUUGUAUUGUAUAACUAUUCCUGAGCAUGUGGCUUGCUCUGGUGUGAAAAAUUAGAAGAUGUAUUACUGGGGGUGGGCUUUGAGGUUUAAAAAUCCCAUGCCAUUCCUAGUUACAGUUGUCUCUCUCCUCCCCAUACAUGCCUUAUGCCUGUGGAUCAGUAUGUAUGAUUUCAACUGCUGUUCUACUUCAGCAUUAGGCCUGUCUGUGAGCUGCCAUGCUCUCUGCCAUGAUGAUCAUGUGGUGGUCCAUGCCUUUAAUUCCAUCACUUAGGAAGCAGAAGCAGACGGAUUUCUGAGUUCAAGGCCAGACUGAUCUACAGAGCAAGUUCCAGGGCAGCCAGAGUUACCCAGAGAAGCUAUGUCUUGAACUUCCCUACCCCCCAAAAAGAAAUGUUGCCUUGGUCAUGGUGUCUUAUCACAGCAAUAGAAAAAUAACUAAGACAUCUGGUAUAUGAUUAGUAUGUCCAGUGUCUCUCCACUGAAGAAAACUGGUUUCCAAGCUAGGCAUUUUUACUUUGUUCAGCAGAAUUGUCAAUUUUUCAGGUUUCCAAGAAAUGUUGGGUUUUCUGUUGAUUGCAGAGGAACAAACUCCCUGUAACUUAGUAGUCUGAAAGAACAGCCCUAUGGGGCUAAAGAGAUGGCUCAGUGGUUAAGAGCAUGGACUGUUCUUCCAGAGGACCUGGGUUCAAUUCCCAGCAAUCACUUGGUGACUCACAAUCAUCUGUAGUGAGAUCUGGUGCCAGCUAAUUCUUGCAGACCUCACUGUACAGGAGCAGACCCAGCACAUGGGAGGCUCCAACUCUGGGAGGUAAAGGCAGCCUAAGAGCCAGGGAGCCUGUUACUUGCAGAGGUGAGGCCUCCGCAGCACCAUUCAGCCUGUGGAAGUGCUAACUCUUCCUAGGAAGUAGGGGUGAGUCUGUCUUCUAUGGGUUUCGGGAGUCAUUUCCUCUGAAGAAGCUCACCAUAUCUACACAGGUGUCUAUAUCCUAUACUUCAGGGCCCAGGUUUCCCAUACAGUGUCCAGGCCAAACAUUUGAGAGUGUUUGGAACUGCUAGGCUAAUGGGUCCUGCAGCUGAUCCUCAGCCAUGCUAGGUCUUCCACAAAAUGAGGAAAGGCUUUGUGUAGGUCACUAGCCUUAUAGUUAAAGGCACAGUUUUUGCCAUAUCCUGGCCCACAAUUUAGGCAGAAUAAUCCUGCUUUCCUGGAGACAACAACAGUACUAGGAACCCCAGAUCCUUCUGGCAUCUGUGAAAUAGGACACUGAUGACUGACUUGGACUCGAAAGGUUGUAGGUGAGGCUAUUGGUGCCCUUCAAAUGACUGUUUGGAGAGCUCUGGACAGCUGUGAUGGUCAGAAGUUACACCUCUGUGCCUGAGGGACUUUUCAGAAAUGAUGCCUCCCUUCCUCCUGCCCUGAAGACUGUCAAAGUAUUGGCAAGAUAGAGAGAGUGGCCUCAACAAAUAAGUGAUGGAUGCUGGAAGCUAUGAGAAGAAAAUACUUAGGAGAUGACUUGUCCCUCUAUGAAGAAGCUGCCUUGGCAUGAAUACAUGACAUUAAAGUGAUUGGCGUUGACUUUGAACCCUUUCUGGAUUCUUGAGAUAAGUGUGUGUCUCACCCUCCAUCAAAGAAACUUCCUCUUUGCAGCAGAUUGAAACCAUUAAAGAAAACUACAACUGGUCAAAAUACAGAGAACACUGAUUGUGGGGUACCCAGUCCCAGUUGAUUUGUCUACAACAUAACUAACUCCUGCACUGAAUGCUCAGGGAACAUGGCAGCAAAGGUGGCAGAAAGAUCUCUAGAGCCAGAGGACCAGGAAAUCUGCUGUGAGAUAGUGUCUCCUAGAAAUGACGGGGAAGCUUCACCUCAGCAAUAUGGCUGGCUACACAAGCACUGAACAAGGACACCAAUGGACAUGCUAACAUGGAAGGGGCACAUCUCAGAGGGCCCUACUGUUAAACAAAGAGCUACAGGCAACUAAGGUGUGCUGAGAGCCAGAGAAAUAUGCUUCCCCAAAGAUGAACUACUUAAUUGGUUAUACAGUACCAGUGGUCAGUCCUGAAACCAUAUACAUACAAAUAUCACUAAAUGGACUGAGCAGUGUAGCAGGCUUUCUUUGGGCCACCAUGCAGCUUCCAAAUAAAGACACAGGGACUUAAUAUGUUCCACCU